rnacentral:rRNA from 1 species
CGAACGCUGGCGGCGUGCCUAAUACAUGCAAGUAGAACGCUGAAGGAGGAGCUUGCUCUUCUGGAUGAGUUGCGAACGGGUGAGUAACGCGUAGGUAACCUGCCUGGUAGCGGGGGAUAACUAUUGGAAACGAUAGCUAAUGCCGCAUAAGAGUAGAUGUUGCAUGACAUUUGCUUAAAAGGUGCAAUUGCAUCACUACCAGAUGGACCUGCGUUGUAUUAGCUAGUUGGUGGGGUAACGGCUCACCAAGGCGACGAUACAUAGCCGACCUGAGAGGGUGAUCGGCCACACUGGGACUGAGACACGGCCCAGACUCCUACGGGAGGCAGCAGUAGGGAAUCUUCGGCAAUGGACGGAAGUCUGACCGAGCAACGCCGCGUGAGUGAAGAAGGUUUUCGGAUCGUAAAGCUCUGUUGUAAGAGAAGAACGAGUGUGAGAGUGGAAAGUUCACACUGUGACGGUAUCUUACCAGAAAGGGACGGCUAACUACGUG